UAACUGUCAGUUUGUUGGCUGUUCCAGUUGGCAACAGCAGUUAUUUUGCUGUGGUAUUUGUCAUUGCGGAUGCUGCUGCGCUACAACAUACAACUACUUAUGCUUUGAAACAAAGUCUUUCCUGAUGAGCAGUGAGAGUUGCAUUGCUGCGCAGGGGAUGCUGCUGCGCCACAGCAUACAACUACUUAUGCUUUGAAACAAAGUCUUUCCUGAUGAGCAGUGAGAGUUGCAUUGCUGCGCAGGAUAAAAAGCUCAUAUGCACGAGUAUGCCCAAAAAAUUGAUGCCUCCAAAUAUUUCCUGAAACGAGAAACGUACAAUCAAACCCCAACUUGUUGAACCCUGUAUGAGGUGUACUAUCUCUGCAGGUGAAGUACGAGGUCUAGACCUCUGCAGCACAUUGAGAAGGGCAAAAUGUAUGUAUUAAGUUUCUUUUUAGUUUAGUUUUGUUUCCUUAAUAUAUAUCCUUGAUGAAUGGUGUUGUGUAUACGAAUAUUAAUAACAAGCCUGUUACUGAUUUUUCCUGCGUUAUUGAUAUCCAAGAAUAUUAAUAGCAAGCCUGUUAUAGUUUUGUUUCAGUUAAUUGUGAGGAUAACUGAAAGGUUCUGGUUGGAUUUUGUAUUUAUUUACUUACUAAUUUUGGAAUGACCCGUGAACUCUUAUUUCUUGGGCACUUCAGG
rnacentral:lncRNA from 1 species